rnacentral:rRNA from 1 species
UCCCUACGGGAGGCAGCAGUGAGGAAUAUUGGUCAAUGGCCGAGAGGCUGAACCAGCCAAGUCGCGUGAGGGAUGACGGCCCUACGGGUUGUAGACCUCUUUUGUCGGGGAGCAAAGAGAGUCACGUGUGGCUCAUUGAGAGUACCCGAAGAAAAAGCAUCGGCUAACUCCGUGCCAGCAGCCGCGGUAAUACGGAGGAUGCGAGAGUUAUCCGGAUUUAUUGGGUGUAAAGGGCGUGUAGGCGGGGAUGGAAGUCAGAUGUGAAAACUAUGGGCUCAACCCAUAGACUGCAUUUUAAACUGGAU